GAUGAACGCUGGCGGCGUGCCUAAUACAUGCAAGUCGAACGCAUAGCGAAAGGUGCUUGCACCUUUCAAGUGAGUGGCGAACGGGUGAGUAACACGUGGACAACCUGCCUCAAGGCUGGGGAUAACAUUUGGAAACAGAUGCUAAUACCGAAUAAAACUUAGUGUCGCAUGACACAAAGUUAAAAGGCGCUUCGGCGUCACCUAGAGAUGGAUCCGCGGUGCAUUAGUUAGUUGGUGGGGUAAAGGCCUACCAAGACAAUGAUGCAUAGCCGAGUUGAGAGCCUGAUCGGCCACAUUGGGACUGAGACACGGCCCAAACUCCUACGGGAGGCUGCAGUAGGGAAUCUUCCACAAUGGGCGAAAGCCUGAUGGAGCAACGCCGCGUGUGUGAUGAAGGCUUUCGGGUCGUAAAGCACUGUUGUAUGGGAAGAACAGCUAGAAUAGGAAAUGAUUUUAGUUUGACGGUACCAUACCAGAAAGGGACGGCUAAAUACGUG
rnacentral:rRNA from 1 species